GGUGAGAUGGCCGAGUGGUUAUGGCGCUGCGUUCAGGUCACCAGAAAAACUUGAAUUCCAAGAAGAAUGAAAAACUUCGCAGUGGAGCAAUCCGCGUGGGUUCGAGUCCCACUCUCAUCA